GGGGAUGUCAGGUUUCGAUAAGAGUUCUUUUCAAAAUAAGCAAGUCGAGUAUUGCUGUAAUCUCGUUAAAACUUCGGCAAAACUAUAAGUGCAAACUUAUUUACAAAAGUUCAAUCUGCGGUAGCUAACGCUUUCGCACCUAACUUUUCAUACGCCAUCGCCUAACGGCCGUGACGCAUCGGUCGCCAAUUCCUAAUAAGCGGAUCCCGGUGUCAUAAUUAGGAUAGACAAUUUUUCGCCUUUAAAAGUUGUUGAAAAUAAAACAAUAGGCUCGAGCGCGAGUAAUUUUUCUAAAUUACUACCUCGCGCUUCAAAAAUAAAUUUAGAUAAACUUGUAGAUUUAUUUUGAUAUAAGGCUUUUAGACGCGGGUUCAACUCCCGCCAUCUCCACCA
rnacentral:tmRNA from 3 species